UACGGAAGGCAGCAGUGGGGAAUAUUGCACAAUGGGCGAAAGCCUGAUGCAGCUAUGCCGCGUGUAUGAAGAAGGCCUUAGGGUUGUAAAGUACUUUCAUCGGGGAGGAAAAAACAAAACUAAUAAUUUUAUUUCUUGACGUUACCCGAAAAAGAAGCACCGGCUAACUCCGUGCCAGCAGCCGCGGUAAUACGGAGGGUGCUAGCGUUAAUCAGAAUUACUGGGCGUAAAGAGCACGUAGGUGGUUUUUUUAAGUCAGAUGUGAAAUCCCCUGGGCUUAACCUAGGAACUGCAUUUUGAAACUGAAAUACUAGAGUAUCGUAGAGGGAGGUAGAAUUCUAGGUGUAGCGGUGAAAUGCGUAGAUAUCUGGAGGAAUACCUGUGGCGAAAGCGGCCUCCUAAACCGAAUACUGACACUGAGGUGCGAAAGCGUGGGGAGCAAACAGGGAUUAGAUACC
rnacentral:rRNA from 1 species